GUUGUUGCCAUCUUGACAAAGCCCAAACUUGCCAGAUCUCAGAAGCUAAGCAGGGUUAGGCCUGGUUAAUAUUUAGAUGGGAGACUGUUGGAAAAAGCAGGUACCACU
rnacentral:rRNA from 1 species